GAUACCUUAAUGUUUGGCCAGAUGAUGCAGUUUUAGAGCUUGGAUCUGAAAGCAAUAACUCAGUAUGCAGUGACAGUGGAGUUGAUGCAAGAACUGAAAAAGAAAAUACCCAGUUACUGAAGAGAAAACGUGGUAUUUCUGGAUUACAACCCAAAGGAAAGAGGAAAAGAAGUAUUUCAUUGCUUCGUCGACCUUCUGCCAAUAGUCGAAUUAAUGCCAUGAAGAAAA